CAAGUCGAACGAAGCAAUCAGGAGGAAGUUUCGGAUGGAAUCCUGGUGACUGAGUGGCGGACGGUGAGUAACGCGUGGAUAACCUGCCUCACGACUGGGGGAUAACAGUUAGAAAUGGCUGCUAAUACCGCAUAAGCGCACAGGUACCGCAUGGUACGGUGUGAAAAAACCCAGGUGGUGUGAGAUGGAUCCGCGUCUGAUUAGCCAGUUGCGGGGUAACGGCCCACCAAAGCGACGAUCAGUAGCCGACCUGAGAGGGUGACCGGCCACAUUGGGGACUGAGACACGGCCCAAACUCCUACGGGAGGCAGCAGUGGGGAAUAUUGCACAAUGGGCGGAAGCCUGAUGCCAGCGACGCCGCGUGAGUGAAGAAGUAUCUCGGUAUGUAAAGCUCUAUCAGCAGGGAAGAAAAUGACGGUACCUGACUAAGAAGCCCCGGCUAACUACGUGCCAGCCGCCGC
rnacentral:rRNA from 1 species